CCGUGUUGUGUUGGAGCGUCGGCGGUGGUAGAGGGGGUGCGAUCGUUGUUCGGAAUGAUUGGGCGUAAGUCGGGGUUAGUGGGUCUGUUAGGUCGGGUGUGAAAGCCCGCAGUGCAACUGAGGAAGUGCGCCCGAAACGUGCAGACUUGAGUGACGGAGAGGAUAGCGGAACACCCGGUGUAGAGGUGAAAUUCGUAGAUAUCGGGUAGAACACCAGUGGCGAAGGCGGCUAUCUGGACGGACACUGACGCUGAGACGCGAAAGCGUGGGGAGCAAACAGGAUUAGAUACCCGAGUAGUC
rnacentral:rRNA from 1 species